rnacentral:rRNA from 1 species
GUUGAACGCUAGCGGCAGGCCUAACACAUGCAAGUCGAGGGGUAGCAGGAUUAAGCUUGCUUAAUUGCUGACGACCGGCGCACGGGUGCGUAACGCGUAUGCAACCUACCUUAUACUGGGGUAUAGCCCGGAGAAAUUCGGAUUAAUCCCCCAUAGUACUAAUGAAUCGCAUGGUUUAUUAGUUAAAGCAUUGCGGUAUAAGAUGGGCAUGCGUCCUAUUAGCUAGAUGGUGAGGUAACGGCUCACCAUGGCUACGAUAGGUAGGGGGCCUGAGAGGGUGGUCCCCCACACUGGUACUGAGACACGGACCAGACUCCUACGGGAGGAAGCAGUGAGGAAUAUUGGUCAAUGGGCGCAAGCCUGAACCAGCCAUGCCGCGUGCAGGAAGAAUGCCCUAUGGGUUGUAAACUGCUUUUAUUUGGGAAUAAACCUCUUUACGUGUAGAGAGCUGAAGGUACCAAAUGAAUAAGCACCGGCUAACUCCGUGCCAGCAGCCGCCAUAA